AUUGAACGCUGGCGGCAGGCCUAACACAUGCAAGUCGAACGAGUGGCGGACGGGUGAGUAAUGUCUGGGAAACUGCCCGAUGGAGGGGGAUAACUACUGGAAACGGUAGCUAAUCCCGCAUACCAUAGGAUGUGACCAGAUGGGAUUAGCUAGUAGGUGGGGUAACGGAUCACCUAGGCGACUAUCCCUAGCUGGUCUGAGAGGAUGACCAGCCACUCUGGAACUGAUACACGGGCCAGACGCAUACGGGAGGCAGCAGUGGUGAAUAUUGCACAAUGGGCGAAAGCCUGAUGCAGCCAUGCCGCGUGUAUGAAGAAGGCCUUCGGGUUGUAAAGUACUUUCAGCGAGGAGGCGUGACUCGCAGAAGAAGCACCGGCUAACUCCGUGCCAGCAGCCGCGGUAAUUC
rnacentral:rRNA from 1 species